AUUGAACGCUGGCGGCAUGCCUUACACAUGCAAGUCGAACGGUAACAGGUCUCCGGAUGCUGACGAGUGGCGAACGGGUGAGUAAUACAUCGGAACGUGCCUAGUAGUGGGGGAUAACUACUCGAAAGAGUGGCUAAUACCGUAUGAGAUCUACGGAUGAAAGCAGGGGAUCGCAAGACCUUGUGCUACUAGAGCGGCCGAUGGCAGAUUAGGUAGUUGGUGGGAUAAAAGCUUACCAAGCCGACGAUCUGUAGCUGGUCUGAGAGGACGAUCAGCCACACUGGGACUGAGACACGGACCAGACUCCUACGGGAGGCAGCAGUGGGGAAUUUUGGACAAUGGGCGAAAGCCUGAUCCAGCAAUGCCGCGUGCAGGAUGAAGGCCUUCGGGUUGUAAACUGCUUUUGUACGGAACGAAAAGCCCCGGGUUAAUACCCUGGGGUCAUGACGGUACCGUAAGAAUAAGCACCGGCUAACUACGUGCCAGCAGCCGCAGUAA
rnacentral:rRNA from 1 species